AAUAUAGAAGACAGCGCGCUAGCGGAUCUAGUCUAUGUAUAUCUAUGGUCAGGCACGUCUGGUAGCAUCUCUGGCUGCUGUUGAUCUUGUUUUUGGAGUAAAACACGGUGGAAGCUGAAUUAGUGAGGAUGACUCCUGCUCCUGUCAUCUCUAAGCUCCUCACACAUCUUUACCUGCACAUGAGGAAAAUCACUCCUGUAGAAUGCAGUGGUUCAUCAGAACCUCUGGGGAUGUCCUGUGGAUUCUGUGGAUCCUGUGGGUUGCAGGGUGGGUCCUACCUAGACCAGGCUGAUCCUGGACCAUCCCACAGAUGCUCCAUCAGAUCUGGAUGUGGGGAGUGUGGAACCCAGAUGUUCAGAGGGAGAUGAUGCCACAUCUGGUCCAGCUGAUGGAAGGUCUUGAAGUUCUCUGACUGGCCUCGACUGAAGAUGGUCGUCUCACUGGAUUUAAGGUUCAGAUGCUCAGUAACAAACUCCACCAAUGAGCCAACAGGGAAGCUUUAGGUUUAUUAAAUGUUGCUAUGAAGGUAUCGCUGUUUUUCUUUGUGAAUGCAAUGUGCUCCAACUGAAAGUUGAAUUAGAACUUAGAAGUAAAUCCUUCCAUCUGAAAGGAUUUAGUUGCAUUAAUAACCUCAUAACAUUCUAAUUUUUAUUCCAGUCUUAGUUGGAAAUAGAAUCUCUGUAUUGAUUCAGGUAAAAACUGAACUUCACAGCAUGUUGGAGCAAAACAACCAGAUGAAAACUGUGAUGGUGUUGGAUUGUCAGACCGUAAUAUUGCAGCUCAAAGCAGCUUUUCUAUCUCAGUUCAUUCUGACAUUCAGCUAUGAAUCAACACAGCAGAUGGUGAUCCAUGCUGUGGAAGUCUCACAUCUCCUGAUUUAAUGGAGCUGCUUUGCACUUUUUACACUGUUUAUUCACCAACACUUUAUUUAAUAAAAGUCCCAUCUAGUUUUUA